GUGCUCACUUUGGCAGCAAGUACACUAAAAUUGGAAUCAUACAGAGAUUAGCAUGGUUCCCUGUGCAAGGAUGACACGCAAAUUUGUGAAGCAUUCCAUAUUUUU